rnacentral:rRNA from 1 species
ACACGUAUGAAAGACAAGCUGAAAGACUUUUCUCAAUGAUGUAAGUGGUGGUGCAUGGUCGUUCUUAGUUCGUGGAUUGAUUUGUCUGGUCUAUUCCGAUAACGAGCGAGACCCCGGCGUUCCUAAUAGAGGCAGCAGCCCGACUUACCCCGCAAGGGGUCUGUUAGCAGCCGUCGUAUAAACUUCUUAGACGUAUCAGAGCCGAUAAGGUUCUUGAAAUGGGUUAAUAACAGGUCAGUCAUGCCCUUAGAUGUUCUGGGCCGCACGCGCGUUACAAUGGUAUAAAUAGAAAGUGCUCACACGGGCUUCUCCGCGGCCUAAUGGUCGCGGUAAUCCGUAAUCUCUCCCUUGACUGGGACAGACUAUUGCAAUUAUUGGUCUCAAACGAGGAAUUUUUAGWAGUCGCAGGUCAUUAACCUGCGABG